CAUAAGGCCUGGGAAGAAAUGAUUGAGGGAGGGUGGGGAAGGUGAAGGGCCAGGAGUCCUUGUAUGGAGUAGUAUAGAAGAACCCUAAGUUGGUUGCUGGAGCCUUGCUGCGCAGCCUGCACUGGCAGCCUGAGUCGCUUUGUCUCACCCCGAGGCCUGGGCCUGGCUGAAAGGCCAAGUUCUGAAGCCGGGAUGUCCCAAGAUACUAGAGAGGAUGCAACCUUGAGGAUGCCACCUCUUCUUGGCCACAUUUUCUCCAUUCAUCAGAGUCUAGUUCAAAAGUCACCGCAUCCACCACACCCUGACUUCCACCCCAAAUUCCUCCCUCUAUAGUGAGGGCUCCCAUAACAUUUUGUUUGAGCCUCUUUAAAAAGCUUUGUGUUGAGGUGCCUGGGUGGCUCAGUUGGUUGAACAUCUGUCUUUCGCUCAGGUCAUGGUGUUAUGGUCCUGGGAUCGAGCCCUGUGUUGAGCUCCAUGCUCAACGGGGAACCUGCUUCUCCCUCUCCCUCUCCCUCUGCCCCUGCCUCUGCCCCACUCAUGCUUGCUCUCUCUCUCUCUCUCUCUCUCUCUCUCUCAAAUAAAUAAAAGCUUUAAAAAAGAUCCAAACACUUGUAUUAACCCUUUGCUUUCUUGAUUCUCUCCUCCCAUGUCACACAUCCCUAAGGGGCAGAAGCUUGCUUUUAAGAAUUACUGCACAUAAUUCCAGCAUCCAGGACAGAAUCCAGUGGAGAGUGAGAUCAAUACAAGUUUGCAGCUGGACCAUAGCACAGAGCCCUGCACUUGACAUGUGCAGUCAACAAGUGUGGAAAGAGGAAACUUGCUGGAAAUGGAAAGUCCUCUACCUGUCACAAGAGAAAACCAAGUGUCACAGAUCUAAGAGUGUAGAGGAGAGAAGGCAGGAUGGAAGCUCCACCCCUGCCCCUCAACAAUGAGAGCUCCAGUGAGGGCAGUUGAAGCAAAGGGCAAUUCCCACAGAUGUGGGUCCUUAACCUGGGUCCCUGGUCUUCUUUUUUUAGUGGGGGGGGAGUCCCUGGUCUUCUAAGGGGUCUGUGGCUAGAAUUCAGAGAAUUCAUGAACUUAGAUAGGGAAAAUUGCUUGUUUAUGUCUUCUCUAUUUUUAACUACAUUUUAGUGCUUCCUUCAAUCAUGAAUGUCAGCAACAACCCACCAGAAUACUAGAGGACCUGUGACUUGGCCCCCAACAGAAAUCACACAUAUUUUGAAGUAGAUCUCUUUAAAUAUCAAUAUGUUCAUCACUAUUUGGAAAACUUAGAAGACUUACUGUUAUAUUUUUUCAAGUUUUAUUUAUUUAAGUAAUCUCUACACCCAACACAAGGCUCAAACUUACAACCCCGAGAUCAAGAGUCGUAUGCUCUUCUGACUGAGCUGGUCAGGCACCCCACUGCUAGAUCUUUUGUUUCAUGUGUUAAUAAUGGGCUUAUAUAUUACAAAUUUUUAAAAAUAUGUUGAUAGCUGUAUCUGAGCCUAAUUGGUUUUCAUUAUAAUCCUUUAUGUUUUAUUUUAUACAUUCUAGAAGGGACCUAGGGGCUUCACCAGACUGCUAAGAAGCCCCUGGCACAUAAAACAAGGCCACAAGCCCCAUGUUGCAGUACAUACAGUCUGGUUGCAAUUGGUGCCAGCUCUCCUGGGUGACUUCUUCCAAGGGGAGCCCACACAUGUACAUGUUUGAGCCUAAGUCUGCCAGAGCAGACCUUUUCUAGUCACUCUUGGAUGGGGGCACCUCCCUCCCCAAUGGUCUCUCACCUUCUAACACUAUGAUGUGUUCAUGAAUUGGUUUGUCAAGUGAGCAGUAGGACCGGUGGGAUCAGAACAGGCAGUGGAGACUCAAGCUCCUUCCUGAACGUCCCUACCAGCCAAACCGGACAGCUCCUGGUUCCCUGGUUGUGCCACCCAUAUCCCACCUUCCUAGUUU
rnacentral:lncRNA from 12 species